rnacentral:lncRNA from 1 species
CAACCGCCGCUCCGCGCUGGCUCGCGUGGGCAAGGUGGGGCCUAUGAUUGGGCAGUACGUGGACUCUCAGUGGAGCCUGGCGAGCUUCACUGUGCCUGCUGAGUCAGCUUGCAUCUGCGCCUUCGGUCGCAAUACUUCCAAGAACGUCAACUCUGUCAUUGAUGGGACCUUCCACAAAUAUGUCUUCACUCCUGAUGGAAACUGCAACAGAGAGGCUUUCGACGUGUACCUUGACAUCUGUGAUGAUGAUGACUUUUAAGGACCCUGGGGGCUGUGCUAGGGACCUGCAGUGGCAGAACUGCAGAGCUGAGCCUUGGCAGUGGGGCGUGCUUGGAAGCCACCAGCCAGCAAGCAUUAAUGGGGCUGGUGCCCACUUUCCACUCAGCAGAGCUAUGUCUAAAUAAAGAGCUCACUUCCCCCCA